rnacentral:rRNA from 1 species
UACAGAGGGUGCAAGCGUUGCUCGGAAUUACUGGGCGUAAAGGGUUCGUAGGUGGUGCGGCAAGUUGGGAGUGAAAUCUCUGGGCUUAACUCAGAGGCUGCUUUCAAAACUGCCGCGCUCGAGUGCGAGAGAGGUCAGUGGAAUUGCAGGUGUAGCGGUGAAAUGCGUAGAUAUCUGCAGGAACACCCGUGGCGAAGGCGGCUGACUGGAUCGCAACUGACACUGAGGAACGAAAGCUAGGGGAGCAAACAGG